rnacentral:lncRNA from 1 species
AAGUCAAGUCAAGUAGUCAAGUUAGCAAGUCAAGUUAGUUAGUACGUCAAGUUAGUCAGUAAAUUUAGUAACUAACUUGUCUUACUUCACUUUUUAUUACUAAAAACCUUUACUUUUUAUUACUAAAAACUUUACUUUUUAUUACUAAAUUUACUUAAAGAAGGGUUGGUUUUUUAUUAUCUUGUUAGCACUUCCUCCGUGUUAACCUCUGGAAAUUCGGCGCCGCAAACGGCGCCUACUAUUGUCCCCCCACACGAUAUUUCACGCGAUGAAGGUACCACUAGACCACCAGGACUCUUGGUGAAAUGGUUAUGUUUUUUAUUCUACUUAAUCCUUUCCCCUUCGACUCUAUAAUUAAUGAACACACAAAUGGCACAAGUCGCUAAAAAUGGACGAAAAGUUAAGGCUAUAGCCUUACCUUUUUGCUGUUUUUUGCCCAUUUAUGAAAAAU